rnacentral:rRNA from 1 species
UUGGUGGGGUGAUGGCCUACCAAGGCGACGACGGGUAGCCGGCCUGAGAGGGCGACCGGCCACACUGGGACUGAGACACGGCCCAGACUCCUACGGGAGGCAGCAGUGGGGAAUCUUGCGCAAUGGGCGAAAGCCUGACGCAGCGACGCCGCGUGAGGGAUGGCGGCCUUCGGGUUGUAAACCUCUUUCGACCGGGACGAAGCGUGAGUGACGGUACCGGUAGAAGAAGCACCGGCUAACUACGUGCCAGCAGCCGCGGUAAUACGUAGGGUGCGAGCGUUGUCCGGAAUUAUUGGGCGUAAAGAGCUCGUAGGCGGUUUGUCGCGUCGGCCGUGAAAACUCCAGGCUUAACUUGGGGCUUGCGGUCGAUACGGGCAGACUUGAGUUCGGCAGGGGAGACUGGAAUUCCUGGUGUAGCGGUGAAAUGCGCAGAUAUCAGGAGGAACACCGGUGGCGAAGGCGGGUCUCUGGGCCGAUACUGACGCUGAGGAGCGAAAGCGUGGGGAGCGAACAGGAUUAGAUACCCUGGUAGUCCACGCCGUAAACGUUGGGCGCUAGGUGUGGGGACCAUUCCACGGUUUCCGUGCCGUAGCUAACGCAUUAAGCGCCCCGCCUGGGGAGUACGG